UACGUAGGGGGCGAGCGUUGUCCGGAGUUACUGGGCGUAAAGGGCAUGCAGGCGGUCGGACGCGUUUUGUGUGACAGCGGGUGGCUCAACUACGCGAGCAUACGAAAGACGGUUUGACUUGAGGGCUCGAGAGGGACACGGAAUUCCGGGUGGAGUGGUGAAAUGCGUAGAGAUCCGGAGGAACACCGAAGGCGAAGGCAGUGUCCUGGCUGGUGACUGACGCUGAGGUGCGAAAGCUAGGGGAGCGAACGGG
rnacentral:rRNA from 1 species